CAGUUUUGAAAGUCAGGAUCACGCCUUUUCCAUAUCAUUUCCAAGUUCUAACAGUUACUGCACGUAGGAUCGUGACUGCUGCAGUCUUCUCCAGUAUUAGAACUUCCUGGCUACCACAGAGUGCUACGAGGCUGUUUAUUUUUCAAGAAGAGAUUGGCAACUAACUGGUAGCCAGAGAAGUUCCUUGAUGGGCUCAGAUUAUGUUUUUGAAAAAUUAAAUUUUUGACUACACUUAAAAUUUGGAGUAUUAUAUAUGAAAAUUCAGAUAUUCGGCUCUUCUUUAAAAGCUGGACCAUCUGAUCCUACUGCUGUAGUAACCGUUCCCUAGCGGAUGAAAUGGCACCUCAUAUUCAGUCUGCCUCAUUCUUUCUGCCGCCAUGGCACAGCAACUGUGACGCCAUCUUAGAAUCUGUGCUGGGGUGAGACGCAUCUGCCCCACAUCCACACAUCACAGAAGUGCUGUGUCGGAGGAAGCUAUUUAUCUACAAUUUCCAGAAUGUGUGCACGUCUGCUGCAGAUGAUUUAUAAGGCCGAAGAAUGUUCAUGACGCUAUGGCGUUGUUUUGCCGGAAAAGCCACUCAGUUCGAAACCAACCACUUGACUCCGAUGACAGUACUUGGGAGCAUCUGGAGCAAAGUAUCUGAUCUCCUGGCCUUAGCACCUUCUUCACCCUGAGUCAACAGCACGUAAAUAGAAUCUCCGCAGGCUGAGCCGGCCACCACAGCGCAGCGCCACCCUUGCCUCUGCCCCCUAAAGAUGCUGGACCCACUCAAGCAAAUGACACCUGUGCGGUUUCAAUGGGGAAAACAAGCAAAAAUCAAACCAACAAAAGCAACCACAUAAAAGCCUGUAACUUGGCAUUCUAGGUUUUUCUAUGGAGUGACAAUAUACUGACUUCAAGGCAUUUGUGAGGGUGGAGUUUAUUCAAACUUUCAGAAGACUGAGGCUACUGUUCAGAAAAUUAAGGGACAAAGAUGGAAAGAAAAGUACCUGAGUGUGUGUGUGUGUGUGUGUGUGUUGGUGUUGGUGUGUGCAAAUGUGCAUAUGUAUGGACCCUGACGCAUAUGUUUUGGGUUCAAAGCAGCUUUGGGCAGGGGCCCUGUCCUGACGG